AUGCCUCAACUUGAUAAAUUAACUUAUUUCUCACAAUUUUUCUGGUUAUGUCUUCUCCUCUUUACUUUUUAUAUUCUCUUAUUUAAUAAUAAUAAUAGAAUACUUGGAAUUAGUAGAAUUCUCAAACUACAGAACCAACUGCUUUCGCGCCGGGGGGGCAAGAUCCAGAGCAAGGACCCUAAGAAUCUGGAAUAUAUCUCGAGAAAAGGUUUUAGCACCGGUCUCUCAUAUAUUUACUCCAGUUUAUCCGAAGUAUCCCAAUGGUGUAAGACCGUCGACUAUUUGGGAAAAAGGAGGAAAAUCACUCUGAUCUCUGAUUUCGGAGAAAUAAGUGGCUCACGAGGAAUGGAGAGACAGAUUCUCUAUUUGAUCUCGAAGUCCUCAUAUAACACUUCUUCCAGUCGGAUCACUUGUUGGAAAAACAUAAUGCUCACAUAUGUUCCACACGGGCAAGGAAGCAUAGUAUUAUGA
rnacentral:rRNA from 1 species